AUGUCGUUGCGCGGGGAUGCGAUUAGCCAAGCUGGGGCAAACAAAGCCGUCCGGCCCCCUACCGGAUUAGGAAAGCGAAGGCCUUUCCUUCGAAAGGAGACCGGCGCCAGUAGUUGUAGCUGUGGCCACACCAACCCUUUCGUUCUUAUCGCUCCGGGUUUCUAUCUAUAUGACCUCCGGGCGGUACAAAGUAAACCUCUUCCGUAG